rnacentral:lncRNA from 1 species
GCCUUGAUAGGGAUCAUCGGUUUGGGUGCAGACAUCACAGGCUAACUGUAACCCAGCACAUCUGCUCAGAGCACAGAGUGCAAAUAUUUUGGUUACCCGCAGAGCAGGGAGAGCCCUCACGUGCCUUCAUCUCAGACUGAUCAAUGCCGUUUGGGAGGGAGCAGCCUGAAGCAUGCGCGGGGCAGUUUGGAAGUGUGGAGAAAGGGUAAGUUCGGGUUCGAGCCAGACAUAUUCUAAAAUCCAACUCCGCUUCUGACUAAGAACAAGGUCCUUACUAUCUAACCUGGACGGAUUGUAUUAAAAACCUAAAAAUAAAAAAUAAAAGCCUAGUCUGGUGAAGUGGCCAAUGCCUACUACAAUCUCCAGAUCCCAGCGAGAGGAAGGUUAGUGUGGGUAGUUCAGAAGUCCGAGGCCCCUGGUUACAAAGCGAGACCCAUCGCGUAACAAAUGAAUUAAUUAAAACUACACAGUGUGUGGGAUGUGGUGGCUACACACUCCAUGGGUGCUGUUACAGCCACUCGUGUGAGCGUUUGCCUCCUGGGAUCUUUCCUGGUCACCUUUACCCCACCUUAAAUAAUAACUGUUGAAUUGUAGGAUUGAAGACAUUUUGUCAAGCCCCAAAUCCUGGUGAGGAUAAACUCACAGAAGCCUGCACAUCACAGACAAAGUUGCAGUGUCGUAUAUUCACUUUCAAAUUAACUUAUUAAUUAUUAACAAUGUAUUAAUUUAUCAACGCAAUAACAGAGUCUCUUAGACAUAAUAUGAACAUCAUGGAACAUCCAAGAAUAUCUCCUGAUGUCAUCACACUGUGAAUGCUUAGAAUAGUGUUCUCUCUCAUUGGGCCCAUAUCUACUGAACAUUUUUACUAUUUACUAGACACUAUGCUAGGCACUAGGAAGGCAGCGUGUACC